CAGUAUCUUAUCCCGUCUCUCCUUCUUCCCUCUAUGCAAUUCCCUAAAAUCUCUCAGUAUUCCCCUCUCUCUUAUUCUCUUCGCCCAAAUGUAUGAAACAUAGCGAUUGUAGCAGAGUUCGUCGGCAAUUUCUUCGCACUCAGCUCAAUCGGCAGAUUCGUCGCCGGUCUUCGUACAGCAGGUCACGGUGCCGUUGUCACCGCUGCGGCAUCCAUCGUAGUCAUCGUCAAAGGUCGCGGCUGUGCCCUCAGCUCUGAUCCGUCGUCAUUGCUCGCAGGUCCAAGGUAAUUAAGUGCAAUAUUAUUCAUAUUUGAUAUUUUAAUUGUAAUUAUUUGAGUUUUCAAUUUUAUAUAACUACUGCUUUGAUCUUUUUGGGUAGAGAAUGCAAUUAUUAAUCUGGAUAUUUGAGGGGAGAAAAGAGGAUUUGUGUUAAUAUUCCUUCAACUUCCAGUGAUCAUGCUCUAAGAAGUGCAUAAUAUUUUUUAUGUUUUGUAAAAUUAGUCUCAAUAUGUUCUGUAGUAAUAGAACACCAGUUUGCUCGUUACCUGUUUGUGAAAAUGCUCCUGAGGUUAAUAACAAUGUUGUGGGAAAAAAAUAAGGAUGAUUUCAAGCAUGUUCUCUAGUACUGAUUCUUCACUCAUGUAAAAUUUAAAAAAAAAAGGCUUUUGCUUAUUUGUUUCUCUCCUUAGCUUGUAUGAUUUCUAUUACUCACAACCAUGUAAGGAAGGAGUAGUCCAUCUAUUACUUUUGUUUUGGAAAUCAAAUUGGCAUUAGAAUAAAGGUUGUCUAGAAAGUUAUUUAUUGCCAAUAAGAUAUUGCAAAGAAUAUUGCAACUAUGUUUAUCUAGAUUUUUGUUGUUAAUAUUAAAUUGCCAAGCCCAUGGAUGAAUUUGAUAGUGGUGUUAAGAGCCCUGAAAAAGGUCAUGCUGCCAGAUGAUGAGAGCGCAGCCCCGCUUCCUGAAAAAGUUCAAGUGGGUUGUUCACCAGUAUACAAGAUAGAAAGAAAGCUUGGCAAAGGAGGCUUUGGACUUGGAAUAAAUUUUCAUUAUUACAUUUUCUUUGUCAUUUGUUUUUUUUAUGGAAAAAAUUAUGGAAGCAGGCCCUUUACUGGAUGUCAGAAUUUGAUUACGGAACUGAGGCAGAGCAAACAACCAAAGUUUUGCAUCCAUGUUGGGCAGCAUAUCGAAUUUGUGAUGAGUAUGCACUUUUAUUGGGAUAUAAACUUCUCAACAGGAGGGGUCUUACAAUUUAUGUGAACAUUUUCUCUGGUGAAGCAACUACAGAUUACCUCUUUUCUCUUUAACUCCUUUAUUUUUGUUGCAUAUAUUAAUUUCUCUUCAAGACCAUCUCAUGUGAGAAACAUAAUACUUUUUAGAUAGUUCUCGAUAUCUUGUUUAGUUAAUGAUGUCCACACUAAUUGUUGCAGAAUAAUGUGCAAGAUCUUUACAACCUUCUGUGUUUCUUGCAAGUUGAGCCAUGGUGCAAUUGGGCAUGGUGGAAUAAGUUAAUACAGAGACCUUAUGAGAAUGGUGAUCAGAGAGCAUUGAAACUGGUCAAGGCAAUUCUUAGGUCAUUAAUGCUUAAGAGAACAAAGGAAACAAAGGACAAGGAAGGGAGGCCAAUUCUUGUCCUUCCACCAACUGAUAUCCAAGUCAUUGAGUGUGAACAGUCGGAAGCAGAGCACGAAUUCUAUGAUGCCCUCUACAAGAAAUCUUUACCAGGGAGUGGAAAGAAAUUUUCAUCUUAAAGAAAACGGGAAAUCUUUUGCAUGAUAGCGUCACGUUGAAUGAACUACAAUGUUGUGUUAUAUUUAUUAUAUAAUGCAUAUAAUUGAUUUCUUUUAAUAUGUAGAAUUGAUAUUCUUUUAAUAUGUGAACUUCUUUGAAUAUUUUUAAACAUUAGUAUUUGGCAAUACAAGUUUCAUUUGAUUUUCUUUUAAA